rnacentral:rRNA from 1 species
GUCCACGCCGUAAACGAUGAUAACUCGACGUUGGCAAUAUACCGUUCAGCGUCCAAGCGAAAGCGUUAAGUUAUCCACCUGGGGAGUACGAUCGCAAUGUUGAAACUCAAAGGAAUUGACGGGGGCCCGCACAAGCGGUGGAGCAUGUGGUUUAAUUCGAUGAUACGCGAGGAACCUUACCAGGGCUUAAAUGGGGAUUGACAGGCUGGGGAAACUAGUCCUUCUUCGGACAAUCUUCAAGGUGCUGCAUGGUUGUCGU